rnacentral:rRNA from 1 species
GGCAGACGGGUGAGUAACGCGUGGGAACCUGCCCUGUGGUAGGGAAUAACCGCGGGAAACUGCGGCUAAUACCCUAUGAGUCCUUCGGGAGAAAGAUUUAUCGCCAUAGGAGGGGCCCGCGUCGGAUUAGGUAGUUGGUGGGGUAACGGCUACCAAGCCUUCGAUCCGUAGCUGGUCUGAGAGGAUGAUCAGCCACACUGGGACUGAGAUACGGCCCAGACUCCUACGGGAGGCAGCAGUGGGGAAUAUUGGACAAUGGGGGCAACCCUGAUCCAGCAAUGCCGCGUGGGUGAUGAAGGCCUUCGGGUUGUAAAGCCCUUUCGGCGGGGAAGAUGAUGACGGUACCCGCAGAAGAAGCCCCGGCUAACUUCGUGCCAGCCGCCGCGG